CAUCAAAAUGCUCAUUCGAUGAGAUGGAAAUUUCUUCUUAAAUGUCUAUUUCUCAUUUUGCAGCAAAGGCAUGAUUAUACUUCUAUAAAUUUUUGCCUCAAAUAGUCAGAUAGAAGCAUGCAAAGUAGGCAGAGCCUAGACAUCUACCUGAAAGAAAUAUCCUCCUGCAUUUUCUUGAACAUAUUAACUCUUCCUGAGCUCCAGGGCACUAUCUCUGGAGUCCUUUUCCGGCGCAUAAUUUUAAAGCAGGUGUCACUUCUUAUUUUCUCUCUCAAAGUGCCUUGUUCUUUUUCUUCACAAUACUUUUCAAAAUACUUAAAUAUACAUUUAUUUCUUAUGAAACUUGUUUACCUCACUGGACUUUAAGAUCUAUGAGGCCAAUCCCAUGUCUGUUUUAUUUUCUACUUUCUUGCCCCUGCUCCCCAGGCACAAAGCAAUAUGUGCCUGGCAUACAUUUGUCAAUAAAUACUUGUCAUAUUUG
rnacentral:antisense_RNA from 1 species